UACGGGGGGAGCAAGCGUUGUUCGGAUUUACUGGGCGUAAAGGGCGCGUAGGCGGUCGUGACAAGUCACUUGUGAAAUCUCCGGGCUUAACUCGGAACGGUCAAGUGAUACUGUCGGACUAGAGUACAGAAGGGGCAACUGGAAUUCUCGGUGUAGCGGUGAAAUGCGUAGAUAUCGAGAGGAACACCUGCGGCGAAGGCGGGUCUCUGGGCCGAUACUGACGCUGAGGAGCGAAAGCGUGGGGAGCGAACAGG
rnacentral:rRNA from 1 species